rnacentral:piRNA from 1 species
UAGAAGGCACAGAGAAGGCAAAUUGAG